rnacentral:rRNA from 1 species
AUGUACCCCGCCGAGCUCGCCAGCGUCCCGUACCUCUCCGCUGCGACUGCAACGGCGGCCUUCAGGCCUCAUUGCCAGGUGGCUCCGGACGACUUCCUCUUCCAGUACGGCGGCGGCGGGCUCAUGGUUCCUCGGGCGUCGUCCUACCAGCAGCACGACGUCGUCGGCCAGCUGCUCCACGAGGCCGCCGCCGGCGGCGGCCUCCUCCUCCCGUUCGGGGCCAGGCCGUCCAACUCGGACGAGUCGGACGAGUGCCACCACCACCACCACCAGGCGGCGCGCUGCGGCGGCAGCCUCGCGGAGGAGCGGCGGCGGCGGCGGAUGGUGUCGAACCGGGAGUCGGCGCGGCGGUCGCGCAUGAGGAAGCAGAAGCAGCUGAGCGAGCUGUGGGCGCAGGUGGUGCACCUCCGCGGCGCCAACCGCCAGCUGCUCGACCAGCUCAACCGCGUCAUCCGGGACUGCGGCCGCGUGCUGCGCGACAACUCCGGCCUCAGGGCCGAGCAGGCCAAACUGCAGGAGCGGCUCGAGGAGCUCCCUGCUGUGCCGGCGGCCGUGGCCGUGGCGGUGGAGGGCGCGGGAGAAGUUGAGCUUGAUGCUGCCCAGGGUGACAUGAUCGACUAG